UGGGGAAUCUUGCGCAAUGGGGGAAACCCUGACGCAGCAACGCCGCGUGGGUGAUGAAGGCCUUCGGGUCGUAAAGCCCUGUCAGGUGGGAAGAAUCAUAUCGAUUCGAAUAGGGUCGAUAUCUGACGGUACCACCGGAGGAAGCACCGGCUAACUCCGUGCCAGCAGCCGCGGUAAUACGGAGGGUGCAAGCGUUGUUCGGAAUUACUGGGCGUAAAGCGCGUGUAGGCGGUCGAGUAAGUCAGAUGUGAAAGCCUUCCGCUUAACGGAAGAAGUGCAUUUGAAACUACUCGGCUGGAGUACGGGAGAGGAGAGUGGAAUUCCCGGUGUAGAGGUGAAAUUCGUAGAUAUCGGGAGGAACACCAGUGGCGAAAGCGGCUCUCUGGUCCGAUACUGACGCUGAUACGCGAAAGCGUGGGGGAGCAAACAGGAUUAGAUACCCUGGUAGUCCACGCCGUAAACGAUGGACACUAGGUGUGGGAGGUAUUGACCCCUUCCGUGCCGAAGCUAACG
rnacentral:rRNA from 1 species